CCGGCGACCGGCGCACGGGUGAGUAACACGUAUGCAACCUGCCCGUCUCAGGGGGAUAAUCGUCGGAAACGGCGUCUAAUACCCCGUAUGAAGCUGGACGGCAUCGUCUGGUUUUGAAAGAAUAUCGGAGACGGAUGGGCAUGCGGCGCAUUAGCUAGUUGGCGGGGUAACGGACCACCAAGACGACGAUGCGUAGGGGUUCUGAGAGGAAGGUCCCCCACACUGGUACUGAGACACGGACCAGACUCCUACGGGAGGCAGCAG
rnacentral:rRNA from 1 species